CCAGAAGCGGCCCCCCUCCUUUCCCUCCCCUAAAUUUUCUGCCGCCGCCGCCGCCGCGGCCUCCAGCGCGGCCUCCCCCGACUCUCCGCGAUCACCUGCGACGACGACGACGACGACCAGUUCAUGGUCGCUGGCCGGAGGAUAAGGAGCACGGAGCCACAUUGACCAUGGCGAGAGACAACAAGCUGGCCAGGGCGAGUCAAACCUAGGCACGGUUUCGGAGCCUCUCAUGGCCGAGCCCGCGCCACCUGCGCUCCUCCCCCUCAUGAGGCGCAGCAUCUGCUUCGAGGGCUCCUCCCGGAGAGGACUACUCCGGCUGCCUGCCAACGGAAGGACCUGCUCGGCCUCUUCCCCUGGAGCAAGAAGAAGGCCUCUUCUUCCGCUUCGGACCCCCACUAGGACAUGAAGCGGGAGAUGCAUCAUCUAUAGAUAUACUAAAAGGGGGAUCAAGACCUUCUGGUCUUUUGACUAAUGAUGCCUACUACCAGGUUAUAGAAGUCAAAGUUUAAGACUGUACAGGAAGAGAUUUAUUCAUGCAUAAUUUCUAACUCUCGUCUUCUAAGGAUAAAUGGAACUUCUAUCUAGCCUCUAUCUUAAAACUAUUAGACCUUAUCAACAUAGCAACAUGCAAAGUUUCAAUUGAAAUGUGGACAAGGUAUUUUAAGUAUUCAGGGGAACCUGUGACAUAUCUUACAUGUCUUUCCAUGUGAUUCACAUGACAAGUGCAGGCAAAUGUGCAGAUUAAUCAUUCUUAAAUUUUGAGAAGUAUUUUCCACUGCAGCUGGAUAAGGGUGCCGUGCCAUUGCUUUUUUCUGACAGCCAUGUUCUCAGCCACUGCAACCAUCAGUGGGCAUAGUAGUACAAGGUUUGGUCUCCAUGGCAACACAUGGGCACUUUCCUGACACAUAUUUGAAUUAAAAUUGACGAAAGCUCACUCACAUUUUUGGGCCAUCUCCCUAUAAAUUAUGCCCCCAUUGCAAUACAUGGGCAAUUACCUAGUAGGAUACAAAGUACAUGUUCUUAUGUGUUGUUUCAAAUUUUAACAGUAGAGGUUGUCUUGUAGAGUAUCCGGUGAAGCUAUAUUGCAUUGAAGUUGUAUCCCAUAUAAUACCAGCGAUGAGAUCAUAAAUAAAUCCUCUCAUUAGGGAUGCAGUAACAGGACACUUUGGGUUGUAGAAUAGCAGGUGAAGAUAUAAUGCACUGAACUUAUAUGACAUAUAAUUAUUACAUUCAUCAAUAGGGAAACAUGGUGCGCUCGCUCGCGUAUGACACGUCGGAUUUUUUACUGUGCUGAUUGGAAACACUGUUUUCUUAUUGCGAGAAACACUCCCUUCACGAAAAUAGCGAUCGAGAAAAGAGGAAACUUCCUCACGAAGGCACAGAUUCCUGUUUCUCCCACGCCGCCUCGACGACCAUGGAGGCGAUUCGGCGCUCCCACCAUCCAGAUCGAACCAACUGGGAGGAGGAGAACCACCACCGCCUUCUUGCUGCUCGUCUCCACUGCGCCUCAUCUGCGCUGCGUGGUAACCGAGAUGCGGCCGCCCCGUGCUCUGUCGGUUCCCAUGCACUCUCUCCCAGGUCUCUCUCUCGAUCUGAGAGGAAAUCAGACUCUGACUCCGCCUCGAUCACCUCCUCCCUCAUCUCAAUCACUUCUAGCCACACAGAGGGACGACCCAAGGGGAAGUAGGGGUCAUCGCCGAAGAAGUCAGGGAGGAGCGUAUGCUAGCUAGGGAGGCGGCUCGGACCAGAUCGACCAUGGUGAUGGCAUCGCUGACUCCCUACUGGGUAUUAUCAGCAUGAAUACUAUUUACACAGUUUGUUCUUUUGUUUAGUUUGACCGUCUUUGAAGUAAUUGACAUGUAUACUGCUGCAAAAUGAAUCUGUGAUGUUUAAAUCAACUUUAAAAACCUGCCAGGUUGGAUAUAUCUUUGUCGGAUAUUUUUAUACCAUUGUUUUUCUUCUGUUCAUUUGUUGGGUUGGGCCAAGACCAGUGGGUUCAUUUCUAGGGGCUAUCGUAUUUGUCUUGCUACCGACUGUAGAUGCGAUCACUAAUUCUCAUUGACUGUAGUUGUAGUUUUAGAAGUAGGAUGGCUAGCAGUCAUCAUAUAUUGGCUAAGUUGCAUUUGUGUUGGGUACAACAAGAUGAAGAUCAAGAGAAUCCCGAUGAAAAGCAUCAUGCUGAUUCUGAUGUGGAAAUAGAUGAUGCCAAGCCUUUGGAGGAAUCUGAAAGGAGAAGCAAUACUCAGAGUGCGAGAGUUAAGCAGUAUUGGAUAGAUCACAUUUCAGGGAUAACAUGGAUUUAUUUUGCUCUUCCUACUUUUGUUAGAUAGGCCACAUUCUUUUUCUUUCACUCAUGCCUUUGUUGGUGACGGUGCUGUUGUGUAAAUUCAACAUUGAUGUUUAGUGGUAUGACAUGGUUUACACAAGCUGAAAUUUCGAUCCCUUGGGAUGUUGCAGGUGCUGACAAUCUAAUGCCAACGGAACUGGCCCUUAAAAUUGCAACCAAGAUGAGUUACUUGCUGAGAUUCAGAAAUUAGUUCCCUUCCUGCAAGUUCUUCCAUUUUGUAACCCGACUUUUAAACCAAGCUGCCAUUCAUUCACCGUCCGGGACGUCGUCGUGCGGGCUCAUCCUGCUGCUGCUCCCCCUCGUGCUGACUCUGCACGUCCCUAGGUUCACAUUAGUUGCUUCUCUUCACGGUGAUUCAACUUUAUCGGUGUCCCUUUCAGCUCGAUGGUCAUGAAUCAAAUGUCAGAUUGUCUUUGAUGGGGAAAUUUGCACAUCAAGUAUUUGAUCUGGGAAAUGCAAUUAAAUGCAUAGGAUGCUUUUAAUCUUCAAAAUAUAUAGGCAUGCAUGAUCCACUUUCCGAGAUGGAUGGGAUUGCUGGCACUGGAAGUGGGUGAGGAAGACAUGGCUCGGUUUUAAGUGUCAUCGCGUUCUGUUGGUUGGACCUUUACUUAACAAACUGAGCAUUAUCUUCAAUUUGUUGACAAAGUUAUAGGCAAGCCUGAACAUGUGGCCGGUGGAGAUUUCUUCAACCAGGUAGUUCAAUCUGUCCCAGAUUAGGGUCCUCAUCGUUUGACAACGACCUCAACACCAUGGAAGCCAGGUGGCAGUUAAUGUCUGUCCCCAAAGACGGAGUUACAAAUCUACAUGAGGGGCCGUGGGUUUGUAGAAUUCAAAAGUGACGAAGGUGCAGAUUAUGUGCCAUGCAGAACUACACAUUUCAUUGCUUGUGUUAUCCUGUAAGAAAAUGAGAUGUAACCAGCAAAGCCUUUCAAACAUGUGCUGCAAGAGGCAUAAAAAACAAGGCACAGCUUCUCGCUCAGCUUGUUUAUUUUCUAUUGACUGUUUUUGUAUCGGUUUCAUUAUUUGUUCUAGAAUCUGCAGCUCAACUCAGUUUAUAUAUGAUUUUACUCCCAAAAAGAAUUUGAUUAUGUUUGCUCUUUCAGCUUUAGGCAAAUCUAUGCCUUGAUUAUGAAUUUAAACAUGUUGUUUUCAUGACUCUUGAGUCUGCCACUCCGUCUACCACUGGGAUCAUACCAAUUGCUAAUUAGCCGAUGAAUAUAUAAAUUCCUGGAUCUAAUAUGUCAUCUGCUGCUGUGAGAAUACAAACAUUGAGGUGGGGGUGGAGAUGCGGGUCAUCAGGAGACGGGAGGCACUGCAGUCGACGCAGAGCACCGGCAAUGGCGCCGUUGUCCUCGCACGAUUCGUCAGAUCCAACCUUGCGCGCCCGUGCCAGCUUUUGAUGGGGCCGUCACUGCAGGGAUGCCCAUGCUCACCGACCACUAGCGCUCCAUUGCGGUGCUCAGCCUCUGCAACUGCAGCCCAAUGAGUUUGGUAAUGCAAGAAGACGCAUGUCUUCAAUAGUGGACGUAAUGCACCAAAGGAAAUACAGUAUAUAAUGUUUGGAUUGACAGGUGGCAAACAAGGGCCGAACAGGUUCACGUGGCACCCGCCGAAGCACCGAUCCAUGACGGCCUUCGUGUUUGCAUGCCUGCUAGCCGCCGAGGUGGAGGACCAUGCAGAAGUUGGUGAGUUUGAUGAACCAGCAGCCGAAGGCGCAUUCAUCAUAUGGAAUGUUUCAAUACUUUGUUAAGGUUGUUCCCACUGUAUUCUCAUUCCUCUCCAAUUAUGUUGUGGCUGUCCCUUGUGUGCACAAGCAUACCCAUGUGUGUAGACGGACAUAUAUUUGUGUGAUUUGAACAAUUUUCAAGAUGUUCUUUGUGAUAUAACAUUUCAGAAGUAAUGAGAGUGUUUGGUUCGCUCUCGCUUUUUGCGCCAAGGGCGCAAGUAUGUUAAAUAUGGAAGAAUUAGGCAGGUGAAUUAGUUACAGUAGCAUCAACCAUCAAUUAUACAACAAGUGUUGAGACCUGACAUGUUGCAGUCGCAUCAGUACACAGAGCAAUUACAAGAAUCAGUGAACAGUCGUUGCAUGUUUCA